CCCUGAUGUUAGCGGCGGACGGGUGAGUAACACGUGGGUAACCUGCCUGUAAGACUGGGAUAACUCCGGGAAACCGGGGCUAAUACCGGAUGCUUGAUUGAACCGCAUGGUUCAAUUAUAAAAGGUGGCUUUUAGCUACCACUUACAGAUGGACCCGCGGCGCAUUAGCUAGUUGGUGAGGUAACGGCUCACCAAGGCAACGAUGCGUAGCCAACCUGAGAGGGUGAUCGGCCACACUGGGACUGAGACACGGCCCAGACUCCUACGGGAGGCAGCAUUAGGGAAUCUUCCGCAAUGGACGAAAGUCUGACGGAGCAACGCCGCGUGAGUGAUGAAGGUUUUCGGAUCGUAAAACUCUGUUGUUAGGGAAGAACAAUUACCGUUCAAAUAGGGCGGUACCUUGACGGUACCUAACCAAAAAGCCACGGCUAACUACGUGCCAGCAAC
rnacentral:rRNA from 1 species